rnacentral:rRNA from 1 species
CCUACGGGGGGCAGCAGUGAGGAAUAUUGGUCAAUGGACGAGAGUCUGAACCAGCCAAGUAGCGUGAAGGAUGACUGCCCUAUGGGUUGUAAACUUCUUUUAUAAAGGAAUAAAACGAGGCACGUGUGCCUUUUUGCAUGUACUUUAUGAAUAAGGAUCGGCUAACUCCGUGCCAGCAGCCGCGGUAAUACGGAGGAUCCGAGCGUUAUCCGGAUUUAUUGGGUUUAAAGGGAGCGUAGAUGGGUUGUUAAGUCAGUUGUGAAAGUUUGCGGCUCAACCGUAAAAUUGCAAUUGAUACUGGCAGUCUUGAGUACAGAUGAGGUAGGCGGAAUUCGUGGUGUAGCGGUGAAAGGCUUAGAUAUCACGAAGAACCCCGAUUGCGAAGGCAGCUUACUAAACUGUGACUGACAUUGAUGCUCGAAAGUGUGGGUAUCAAACAGGAUUAGAUACCCCUGUAGUC